CAAAAUUAGAAGGAAAUUAAGAGUUCUAUUGGAUGCAUGAACCCUAAGUCGAGUAAUCUAAGCUUGUUCAACCAUUGGUGUUAAGGAAGAGAGUUCAAGUCAAGCGAAGCAACAAGGGAAUCAAGACCGAGGUGUUAAGGAAGAGAGUUCAAGUCAAGCGAAGCAACAAGGGAAUCAAGACCGAGGUGUUAAGGAAGAGAGUUCAAGUCAAGCAAAGCAACAAGGGAAUCAAUACCGAGGUAAAUCACAAGUUUAGCUUUCAAGCUUCGCUCGGUUCGAACACACUUCAAGGCCCGUCUCAUGUUCAACUAUUUUUGUAAAGAAGACAUGUUUAACACUAUGGUUGCUUUGUCUAUAACUAGUAGUUAAAACUUAGUUCUUGCUAUGUAUUUUGAACUUAA